GACAACCAUGAAGGGAUCUGCUUUAUCAGCUGGACACUGCUCACCCCUGGAUAGGUGCUGCACAGGAAGACCCUGGGACUCCUGACAAUAAUGAGACAAAAGGGCUGAUCUCCUAAUGCCUCUGCUCAGAAUGGCCUGAGCAAGAAAUGGCAAGAGACAGGCUCUCCUGUUUCUCAACCCACAACUGAUGCAAACUUUCUGUUAGGCAACCAAAUUGGAAAACCAGCCACAGAUGAUCCAAAAGAAAAUCCAUUAACCCAGAGGACCUUAUUUCCCAGAGCCCAUAUAAGUCCCAAGCUGGAGUGAAGAAAGAAAAAUGUGUUACGGAAGAGCUUUUGGAUGCCAAGGGAGAGCAAAGCUGCUCUUAUCCAACUAUUGAGAAAAACUCCACAUUAUAUCAUCUGUUUCAUCAUUGUCAUGGCUUCAUGAGGAUUUGUGGAAGCGGGUAUGAAGAGAUUAUAAAAUUUUAUGGAACUUUUCCCUUCCCAGCAGGCCAGAGAGCAAAGUCCUCUUCUCAGAUUAUACCCUGUAGGCAGGAAUCUAUUGUCUGAAGAUAAUGCCAGUCUUUUCACACUCAUUGCUGACCAAGGAUCUAGACAAAAAUUUAAUAAUUGGUAUCCUGCCUUUGAUUCUCUGCAGUGCACUCUUGUAGGGUAAGGAAAAAUGUCAGGCUUUUCUGCCCUCCCGCCAUCAGGAUAGAUGAUGGAUCCUUGUGGUCCUGAAUGCAUGCCUGAUGGCAGGCACCUGGAGUAGGGUGUGGGCAUAGGUAGAUGGGAUUCACCUGGGCUGAGAUGGGGCUUUUAAGGGUGGCAUCAUGGGGACGCCAGGAGAAGCCGAGGAGAAGCCGAAAGAGAAGCAAAGAAGCAGAAGUAGAGAUCACCGGAGAGCCCAG